AACUGCGUAAAACAUUUGUGAUGAAUGCACCUGGUUACUCAGUUGGUCACAAGUUUUAAAUGGCUACUAACCCUACUCAUGGUCAUUUGAUUAGAGGAGUAGAUUAUUAUUCAUGUUUUUUUUUCCUUUCAUUGUGAGUGCGUUUUAUGCUCCAUCUCACACUUUUACUCUAACUAUUUUCGAAAGUAAGUACAUUUUAACCUUAAUCUCACACUUUUACUCCAACUAUUUUUGAAAGUAGGUGCGUUUUAUGCUCCAUCUCACUCAUCACAUAAUAGAUAAUUUGAUUUAUUCAUUUAAAG
rnacentral:lncRNA from 1 species